rnacentral:misc_RNA from 1 species
GAUGAAGAACGUAGCGAAAUGCGAUAAGUAGUGUGAAUUGCAGAAGUACCGUGAAUCAUCGAAUCUUUGAACGCAAAUUGCACUCUCUGGUAUUCCGGGGAGUAUGCCUGUUUGAGGGUCGCUUAACAAACCAUCGAUUUCGUUGCUUUUUUUUUAAAAAGUGAUGUUUAUCGGAUUUGAGCCGUCUUUUUUUUUUAUAUUUAUGUGGCUUAAAAUUGAUUUUUUUGGUACGAUCGAAGCGUAUUUUUAUGAUCAAUUUUUGGUUAAAGAAACGCACACGUACCGUUAUUUAUAUGAUGUAAUACGUUUGACUAUUGGAUUUAGUUCAUUCGUAUACGAUAUUUUUCAAUAUUUGACCUCAAAUCAGGUAAGAACACCCGCUGAACUUAAGCAUAUCAUAAGCGGAGGA